UCAGGAUGAACGCGGGCGGCGUGCCUAAUACAUGCAAGUCGAGCGAACAGACGAGGAGCUUGCUCCUCUGACGUAGCGGCGGACGGGUGAGUAACACGUGGAUAACCUACCUAUAAGACUGGGAUAACUUCGGGAAACCGGAGCUAAUACCGGAUAACAUGUUGAACCGCAUGGUUCAACAGUGAAAGACGGUCUUGCUGUCACUUAUAGAUGGAUCCGCGCCGCAUUAGCUAGUUGGUAAGGUAACGGCUUACCAAGGCAACGAUGCGUAGCCGACCUGAGAGGGUGAUCGGCCACACUGGAACUGAGACACGGUCCAGACUCCUACGGGAGGCAGCAGUAGGGAAUCUUCCGCAAUGGGCGAAAGCCUGACGGAGCAACGCCGCGUGAGUGAAGAAGGUCUUCGGAUCGUAAAACUCUGUUAUUAGGGAAGAACAAAUGUGUAAGUAACUAUGCACGUCUUGACGGUACCUAAUCAGAAAGCCACGGCUAACUACGUGCCAGCAGCCGCGGUAAUACGUAGGUGGCAAGCGUUAUCCGGAAUUAUUGGGCGUAAAGCGCGCGUAGGCGGUUUUUUAAGUCUGAUGUGAAAGCCCACGGCUCAACCGUGGAGGGUCAUUGGAAACUGGAAAACUUGAGUGCAGAAGAGGAAAGUGGAAUUCCAUGUGUAGCGGUGAAAUGCGCAGAGAUAUGGAGGAACACCAGUGGCGAAGGCGACUUUCUGGUCUGUAACUGACGCUGAUGUGCGAAAGCGUGGGGAUCAAACAGGAUUAGAUACCCUGGUAGUCCACGCCGUAAACGAUGAGUGCUAAGUGUUAGGGGGUUUCCGCCCCUUAGUGCUGCAGCUAACGCAUUAAGCACUCCGCCUGGAGACGCCUACUUGG
rnacentral:rRNA from 1 species